rnacentral:rRNA from 1 species
GAUGAACGCUGGCGGCGUGCCUAAUACAUGCAAGUCGAGCGAACGGACGGGAAGCUUGCUCUUCUGAUGUUAGCGGCGGACGGGUGAGUAACACGUGGAUAACCUACCUAUAAGACUGGGAUAACUUCGGGAAACCGGAGCUAAUACCGGAUAAUAUUUUGAACCGCAUGGUUCAAAAGUGAAAGACGGUCUUGCUGUCACUUAUAGAUGGAUCCGCGCUGCAUUAGCUAGUUGGUAAGGUAACGGCUUACCAAGGCAACGAUGCAUAGCCGAUCUGAGAGGGUGAUCAGCCACACUGGAACUGAGACACGGUCCAGACUCCUACGGGAGGCAGCAGUAGGGAAUAUUCCGCAAUGGGCGAAAGCCUGACGGAGCAACGCCGCGUGAGUGAUGAAGGUCUUCGGAUCGUAAAACUCUGUUAUUAGGGAAGAACAGAUGUGUAAGUAACUGUGCACGUCUUGACGGUACCUAAACAGAAAGCCACGGCUAACUACGUG